rnacentral:lncRNA from 1 species
GGGAGGGCUCCGGGUCCCCCCCCUUUCCCUGAGGGGCAUUUUUGGGGGGCUUCAGAUCCCCCCCCCUCCUUGGGGGGCAUUUUUGGGUAACUGCAGCCCCCCCCUAUAGAUGGCACUGCCCCAUUCGGAGCCCCCCCCGCACCCCCACCCCCCCCGGCGCCGCUUUUCCCUUUGGGUUUUCCAGUUGUGCCUUAACCGGGGAGCAGCGCUCAGUGGGACAACAGUGGGACACCAAUGGGGCACCAAUGGGACCCCCCGUGUGACACCGAGGGGACACCAAUGGGACCCCAAUGGGACACCGGGACCCCCAGUGUGACACCAAUGGGACCCCAGUGAGACCCCCUGUGUGACACCAAGGGGACACCAAUGGGACACCAACGGGACCCCAGUGAGACCCCCAGUGUGACACCAAUGGGACCCCAAUGGGACCCCCCGUGUGACUCCAAUGGGACACCAACGGGACACCAAUGGGACACCGGGACCCCCAGUGUGACACCAAUGGGACCCCAGUGAGACCCCCAGUGUGACACCGAGGGGACACCGAGGGGACACCGGGACCCCCAGUGUGACUCCAAUGGGACACCAAUGGGACACCAAUGGGACUCCAAUGGGACACCAAUGGGACCCCCAGUGUGACACCAACGGGACCCCAAUGGGACCCCCCGUGUGACACCAACGGGACACCAAUGGGACACCAAUGGGACCCCCAUGUGACACCGAGGGGACACCAGUGGGACCCCAGUGGGACACCGGGACCCCCAGUGUGACACCAACGGGACACCAAUGGGACACCAAUGGGACCCAAAGUGUGACACCAAUGGGACACCAAUGGGACACCAAUGGAACACCAAUGGGACCGCCAGUGUGACACCAAUGGGACCCCAAUGGGACCCCAGUGUGACUCCAAUGGGACCCCCAGUGUGACACCAAGGGGACACCAAUGGGACCCCCCGUGUGACACCAACGGGACACCAAUGGGACACCGGGACCCAAAGUGUGACACCGAGAGGACCCCCAGUGUGACACAAAGGGGACUCCAAUGGGACACCGGGACCCCCACUGUGACACCGAGGGGACACCGAGGGGACACCGGGACCCCCACUGUGACACCAAUGGGACCCCAGUGAGACCCCCAGUGUGACUCCAAUGGGACCCCAGUGAGACCCCCAGUGUGACUCCAAUGGGACACCAACGGGACACCGGGACCGCCAGUGUGAUACCAGUGGGACCCCAGUGAGACCCCCAGUGUGACACCGAGGGGACACCGAGGGGACCCCAAUGGGACCCCAGUGUGACUCCAAGGGGACACCAAUGGUUCCCCCAGUGUGACACCGAGGAGACACCAAUGGAACACCAAGAAGACACCAAUGGGACCCCCAGUGUGACACCAGUGGGACACCAAUGGGACACCAAUGGGACACCAAUGGGACACUGGGACCCAAAGUGUGACACCGAGAGGACCCCCAGUGUGACACCAAUGGGACACCAAUGGGACAUCAAUGGGACCCCCAGUGUGACUCCAGUGGGACAUCAAUGGGACACUGAGGGGACAGUGGGACCCCCAGCACUCUGAUGUGACCCCGAGGGGACCCCCAGUGUGACACUGAGGGGACAGUGGGACCCCCGGCACUCUGAUGUGACACUGAGGGGACCCCCAGUGUGACCCCAAGGGGACCCACUGUGCCUCAAUGUGACACUGUGGGGACAGUGGGACCCCCAGCACUUCGCGGUGACCCCAAAGGGACCCCCAAUGUGACACUGAGGGGACACCAAUGGGACCCACUGUGCCCCAAUGUGACACUGGGGGAGCAGUGGGACCCCCGGCACUCUGAUGUGACCCCGAGGGGACCCCCAGUGUGACACUGAGGGGACCCACUGUGCCUCAAUGUGACCCCGAGGGGACCCCCAAUGUGACACUGUGGGGACAGUGGGACCCCCCAGCAGUUCGCGGUGACCCCGAGGGGACCCCCAAUGUGACACUGAGGGGACAGCGGGACCCACAGCGCCCCAAUGUGACACUGGGGGGACAGUGGGACCCCCACCACUCUGAUGUGACACUGAGGGGACCCCCAGUGUGACACUGAGGGGACAGUGGGACCCCCCACCACUUCGAGGUGACCCGGAGGGGACCCCCACCACUCUGAUGUGACCCCGAGGGGACCCCCGAUGUGACACUGAGGGGACAGUGGGACCCCCAGCACUCUGAUGUGACCCCGAGUGGCCCCACACGGCUCCAUGGGACCCCACUGUGGGGCAGUGGUGGUUAUGCGGGGGGGUCGGGGGCUGCUGCCCCCCCCCACAGCCGCCCCCUGCAGAGCUGUCCCCCCCCCC